rnacentral:rRNA from 1 species
GACGAACGCUGGCGGCGUGCUUAACACAUGCAAGUCGAACGGAAAGGCCCUGCUUUUGUGGGGUGCUCGAGUGGCGAACGGGUGAGUAACACGUGAGUAACCUGCCCUUGACUUUGGGAUAACUUCAGGAAACUGGGGCUAAUACCGGAUAGGAGCUCCUGCUGCAUGGUGGGGGUUGGAAAGUUUCGGCGGUUGGGGAUGGACUCGCGGCGUAUCAGGUUGUUGGUGGGGUAGUGGCUUACCAAGGCUUUGACGGGUAGCCGGCCUGAGAGGGUGACCGGCCACAUUGGGACUGAGAUACGGCCCAGACUCCUACGGGAGGCAGCAGUGGGGAAUAUUGCACAAUGGGCGGAAGCCGUAUGCAGCAACGCCGCGUGCGGGAUGACGGCCUUCGGGUUGUAAACCGCUUUCGCCUGUGACGAAGCGUGAGUGACGGUAAUGGGUAAAGAAGCACCGGCUAACUACGUG